AUAGAGAUGCUCAAGCCCAUGUCUUAGGAAGUGUAAAAAUAAAUGUUUAUAAUUUGGGCAUCUCACAGUAAAAUUUUUACGACCCAUGGAUCCUCUACCGAGUUGAGAAAAGUCAGCUUUGACAUUGACUUGUCAAGAAAUGUCAUAAUAAAAAAAUUGAACUAUAAUAGGCAAAAAAGUUAAAGCUACCCUAAACAUGACCAUGAUUCAAGAUAAAAUAAAGAAAAUGACUAAACUAC
rnacentral:lncRNA from 1 species